UACGAAGGGGGCUAGCGUUGCUCGGAAUCACUGGGCGUAAAGGGUGCGUAGGCGGGUUCUUUAAGUCAGGGGUGAAAUCCUGGAGCUCAACUCCAGAACUGCCUUUGAUACUGGAGGAUCUUGAGUUCGGGAGAGGUGAGUGGAACUGCGAAGUGUAGAGGUGAAAUUCGAUAGAUAUUCGCGAAGAACACCAGUCGGCGAAGGCGGCUCACUGGC
rnacentral:rRNA from 1 species